UCCAGCUUAUCGCUGGCGGUCUCCUGCGAGUGCCGCCUUUCGGCAUGGUAACACAGGACAAGGGUUGUCAGAGGCAUUCUAGCCCAGGUAAGGUUCUUCGCGUUGCGUCGAAUUAAACCACAUGCUCCACCGCUUGUGCGGGUCCCCGUCAAUUCCUUUGAGUUUCAGUCUUGCGACCGUACUCCCCAGGCGGAAUGCUUAAAGCGUUAGCGACGGCACCCGGGGACUAUAUAACCCCAGACACCAAGCAUUCAUCGUUUAAGGCUAGGACUAC
rnacentral:misc_RNA from 1 species